ensembl:snRNA U6 U6 spliceosomal RNA
GUGCUUGCUUUGGCAGCGCAUCUGCUAAAAUUGGAACGAUACAGAGAAGAAUGAUUCCUGCAAACUGUGACGUUUCGAAUAAACAUUAUGUAAAAAAACAUUUG